UACGGAGGGGGCUAGCGUUGUUCGGAAUUACUGGGCGUAAAGCGCGCGUAGGCGGACGUGCAAGUCGGGGGUGAAAGCCCGGGGCUCAACCUCGGAACUGCCUUCCAGACUGCGGGUCUAGAGUCCGUGAGAGGAGAGUGGAAUUCCUAGUGUAGAGGUGAAAUUCGUAGAUAUUCGGAAGAACACCAGUGGCGAAGGCGACUGACUGGCCCAUUUCUGACGCUGAGGUGCGAAAGCGUGGGGAGCAAACAGG
rnacentral:rRNA from 1 species